GUGGUGAAUGAACUAGAAUGAAUUCUCACUGUAUUCUGACAGUCGAUUUUCAACGACGGAUGUCGCUGUGAGGUGACUUUCAAGUAACGACUACAGUCGUGAUGUUUUCAUCUGUCGAGUAGCAAUGGAGGUGAAAAAGAUACGAAUCACAAACAGGAAGCAAUUCCAGUUGCUGGUGACGAGAAUGGAGGAAAAUCCACAUGUUGCCAAAGGAUUGAAGUUCUGCGAAGGGAUGCAAAUCUCUAAGCAGAACUUUUCCGAAAUUUGGGGUGGCUUAACAAAAGGCCUGAACAGCUUGGAACAGCUGGAAUGGAACAAUUGUUGAAGGCAAAUGAUGAAUAUACAAAGCAUCUGCUUUGUUCUUUGGGUUUCUAAGAGUGCCUUCUUAGGCUUACUUUUGGAUGUCAAUAAUGUUUCAAAUUCUUUUUACGUCACGUGCCGUAAAAAGGAGGCUGUAAAACGAAAUUACUUUUUUCUACUCUGAUCUCAUAAAAGUAAGUGAGGUACAAGAUAUCCAAAGCAUCUUACAGGGAAUCGAUUAUGUGUUUACCGCUGCUUAGCGGAGAACUUAACGAUCGGCCGAGAGUGCUACAGCGGCCUUCUGGUAAUAUUCAACUGGAUCAACUCAAACUAUAAAACGUGGGCUACAUGACCUGGUUUUUCAACUGUAUCCAUGCCGCAAGGGGCAAGGCCCUGGCUCUGUGCGGCGUGUUCUAGAAGACAUGCUUUGCCUAUGCUGGCAUUAUCAUCAUCUUCACGCCUGAUAUCCCUCACAGAUAAGUGUGGCACUGAUGCAGAAAUUAUCUUAGUGAUCAUUAACCAAAAAAAAAAAACUCGAGAAACAACCUUUUCGCAGAGUACCGCAGAACUUCCAGGCUGGCCACUGCCCAG